rnacentral:rRNA from 1 species
AUUGAACGCUGGCGGCAUGCCUUACACAUGCAAGUCGAACGGCAGCACGGGAGCAAUCCUGGUGGCGAGUGGCGAACGGGUGAGUAAUAUAUCGGAACGUGCCCAGUCGUGGGGGAUAACGUAGCGAAAGCUACGCUAAUACCGCAUACGAUCUAUGGAUGAAAGCGGGGGAUCGCAAGACCUCGCGCGAUUGGAGCGGCCGAUAUCAGAUUAGGUAGUUGGUGAGGUAAAGGCUCACCAAGCCGACGAUCUGUAGCUGGUCUGAGAGGACGACCAGCCACACUGGGACUGAGACACGGCCCAGACUCCUACGGGAGGCAGCAGUGGGGGAAUUUUUGGACAAUGGGCGCAAGCCUGAUCCAGCAAUGCCGCGUGC